ensembl:lncRNA
UUUUUUUUCUUUUCUUUUCUUUCUUUUUUUUUUUUGGUUGGUUUAGUUUCGGUUUGGUUUUUUUUUAACUCCUGUAGUAACAGUGAAUGUUAGAUUUAUUUAUUUUUUUCUUUUGCUAAAGUUGAAACACAGAAAAAAAGUAUUAAUAUGGUUUUUUCCUCUCCUUUAGUGAUGUCUCAUACAACUCAGGCACUCAGAUAACAGUGAUAAACUUAACAGAGGUGCCUGUCAGUUGUAGUAUGUGGAUAAAUAAAAUGAGCCCCCUAGACUGGGUUGCCAUAGCGGUUCAGCAAUAAAUAGGGCAUCUUAAAACCUGAGCAAAGUGGGAUCACAUUGGCUAUAAAAAGUAUGAGGAAAAGUGUGCAUAAAAGAUGGAAGGCAGAGAUACAUAAACAACUGAUCCAACGGAGUUACCUGUGGGAACUCCAACACUAUCUUAUGGACACUAAAAGAACACUGGAGGUAAUAUGGUAGUAUUACACAUCAGCGGAUAAUCAUCUGCUGAUACUAUAUGUACAGUAGACAUACGGAAUGACCAGUUUACAUUCUUGCAGAUUGUUUGAUCUUUUCCUUUUGAAACCUCUUAACUAAACUUUGCACUGUCAGUUGAGCUAUACUCGAUACAUGUACUAGGUUAACAUUGUGUGUUGGAAGCUUUUGAUCUGUUCUUUCUCCUUCUUAAUUUGUAUGUGUGCGUGUGUGUGUUGGGCUUUGAUCUGAAAAGUCUCAUAGAGAUUUUUAUGUCUGUGGAGAAGGAUUCUAAUAAUUAAUAGCACAGGAUUCCCUGCCAUUAAAUUCAGGUAGUAAAUGCACAGUUACUAGACAGUAAACGUUCAGUGGACCAAAGGGGGAUUUUGGCUAAGCUGUCACAGCAGCACAAAGACAAAACAAAAUGGUUACGUCUCUAAAAAUUUUACUGAAGAUGAACUCCUAGCAGCCCCACACAUGACACUGCAGCUCUGCAAAAAGCUUUUUCACACUAUAAAGUACCUAAUACUGCUUGUAAGUCAGUUGUUUUAUACAAAGGACAGGGAGUUUAGAACCAUGCUAAGUGCAUCUGGAGGAUUCUGAUUUCUGCCUUGUAUAUGUUACACUUUUAGUUAGAGUAAUGCUAAGAAUUCCCAUGGAAACUGUGUCGAGGUACAUUAAAAGCCUCUUCCCAUUUUUCCUGGAAAAACAACAAAGAAAGAAAAAACAACAGCAUAUCAUGUUGCUCUGAUCAAACUGUCAAUUACUAUAAAUUAACUUUGAGCGGGGUUUUUUUUACACCUUUCACCAACAUGGGAGAGAAACUACGGUACUACUGAACCUCAGCUCCUCUGAAGCUGGACACUAGCUAGUGAGAACAGUGCUAACCAGAGAGUCAAGGCUUUCUAUUCUCCUUUAAAAUUGACAUAGUCUAGAAAAUAAAACUUAGUUAAUCCACCUAUGAGUCCAAAGUUAAGAGUGAAAAAGACAACAAGUAAUCAUGCUGUAUGCUGGGAUGUCAAGGAAUACAGUCUGCUGUUACAAACCUGUGUUUUUUCUGAUAAUUCUAGAGCCUGUUACCAUAAAAGAGGCAUUUCUUGAAUGGCUGGUGGUAGGUAGUUCAUGUUUUUCAAUCCGAUUUGCAAUUGUAUUUGUUGCUGUAUAGUGAUUGUUUUGCAAAAUAAAAUCGCUUGUCAUCUAAA